GACGAACGCUGGCGGCGUGCCUAAUACAUGCAAGUUGAGCGCUGAAGGUUGGUACUUGUACCAACUGGAUGAGCAGCGAACGGGUGAGUAACGCGUGGGGAAUCUCCCUUUGAGCGGGGGACAACAUUUGGAAACGAAUGCUAAUACCGCAUAAAAACUUUAAACACAAGUUUUAAGUUUGAAAGAUGCAAUUGCAUCACUCAAAGAUGAUCCCGCGUUGUAUUAGCUAGUUGGUGAGGUAAAGGCUCACCAAGGCGAUGAUACAUAGCCGACCUGAGAGGGUGAUCGGCCACAUUGGGACUGAGACACGGCCCAAACUGCUACGGGCGGCAGCAGUAGGGAAUCAUCGGCGAUGGACGAGAGUCUGACCGAGCAACGCCGCGUGAGUGAAGAAGGGUUUCGGAUCGUAAAACUCUGUUGGUAGAGAAGAACGUUGGUGAGAGUGGAAAGCGCAUCAAGUGACGGUAACUACCCAGAAAGGGACGGCUAACUACGUG
rnacentral:rRNA from 1 species